rnacentral:rRNA from 1 species
AGUGAACGCUGGCGGUAGGCCUAACACAUGCAAGUCGAGCGGCAGCACAGUAAGAGCUUGCUCUUACGGGUGGCGAGUGGCGGACGGGUGAGGCAUACAUCGGAAUCCACUUAUCCGUGGGGGACAACGUGGGGCAAAUUCCGCUAAUGCCUCAUACGGCCUACGAGUAGAAGCAAGUUAGCAUCAUACCAUGGCCUCACUAAUAGAUGAUCCGACGUUGUGUUAGUUAGUUGGCUGGGUAAAGACCCACCAGGGCGACGAUACUUAGCCGGUCUGAGGGGAGGACCGGCCACUCUGGAACUGAGACACGGUCCAGACUCCUACGGGAGGCAGCAGUGGGGAAUAUUGGACAAUGAGCGCAAGCCUGAUCCAGCCCUACCGGGUGGGUGAAGAAGGCCUUCGGGUGUUAAAGCCCUUUUGUUGGGAAAGAAAAGCGGCAGGUUAAAACCCCGCUGUUCUGACGGUACCCAAAGAGUAAGCACCGGCUAACUUCGUG